UACAGAGGUCUCAAGCGUUGUUCGGAUUCAUUGGGCGUAAAGGGUGCGUAGGCGGCGCGGUAAGUCGGGUGUGAAAUCUCGGGGCUUAACUCCGAAACUGCAUUCGAUACUACCGUGCUUGAGGACUGGAGAGGAGACUGGAAUUUACGGUGUAGCGGUGAAAUGCGUUGAUAUCGCUUGGAACACCAAUAGCGUAGGCAGGCUUCUGGGUGCCACCUGACACUGCUAGGACGAAAGCGUGGGGAGCGAAUGGG
rnacentral:rRNA from 1 species